rnacentral:rRNA from 1 species
UGGGGAAUAUUGCACAAUGGGCGCAAGCCUGAUGCAGCAACGCCGCGUGAACGAUGAAGGUCUUCGGAUCGUAAAGUUCUGUUGCAGGGGAAGAUAAUGACGGUACCCUGUGAGGAAGCCCCGGCUAACUACGUGCCAGCAGCCGCGGUAAUACGUAGGGGGCUAGCGUUAUCCGGAUUUACUGGGCGUAAAGGGUGCGUAGGUGGUCUUUCAAGUCGGUGGUUAAAGGCUACGGCUCAACCGUAGUUAGCCUCCGAAACUGGAAGACUUGAGUGCAGGAGAGGAAAGUGGAAUUCCCAGUGUAGCGGUGAAAUGCGUAGAUAUUGGGAGGAACACCAGUAGCGAAGGCGGAUUUCUGGAAUGCAACUGACACUGAGGCACGAAAGCGUGGGUAGCAAACAGG